rnacentral:rRNA from 1 species
GUUAGAACGCUCGUAGUCGGAUUUCGGGGCGAGCCUUCCGGUCUGCCGAUGGGUACGCACUGGUCGGCGCGUCCUUCCUUCCGGAGACCGUGCCUACUCUUAACUGAGCGGGGGCGGGAGACGGAACGUUUACUUUGAAAAAAUCAGAGUGUUUCAAGCAGGCAGCUCGCUCUUGCAUGGAUUAGCAUGGGAUAAUGAAAUAGGACUUUGGUGCUAUUUUGUUGGUUUCGAACACCGAAGUAAUGAUGAGAAGGGACAGUCAGGGGCACUCGUAUUCCGCCGAGAGAGGUGAAAUUCUCAGACCAGCGGAAGACGAACCACUGCGAAAGCAUUUGCCAGGGAUGUUUUCACUGAUCAAGAACGAAAGUUAGGGGAUCGAAGACGAUCAGAUACCGUCGUAGUCUUAACCAUAAACCAUGCCGACUAGGGAUUGGGGGAUGUUCACAUAUUGACUCCCUCAGCACCUUACGGGAAACUAAAGUCUUUGGGUUCCGGGGGGAGUAUGGUCGCAAGGCUGAAACUUAAAGGAAUUGACGGGAGGGCACCACCAGGAGUGGAGCCUGUGGCUUAAUUUGACUCAACACGGGAAAAACUUAUCA